AGCUAGUGUGGCAUAGUGGUUUGAGCAUUAGACUAUGACUCGAGAGACCAAAAUUCAAAUCUCUGCUUGGCCA